AAACAUCUUCGGGUUGUGAGGUUAAGCGACUAAGCGUACACGGUGGAUGUCCUGGCAGUCAGAGGCGAUGAAGGACGUGCUAAUCUGCGAUAAGCGUCGGUAAGGUGAUAUGAACCGUUAUAACCGGCGAUUUCCGAAUGGGGAAACCCAGUGUGUUUCGACACACUAUCAUUAACUGAAUCCAUAGGUUAAUGAGGCGAACCGGGGGAACUGAAACAUCUAAGUACCCCGAGGAAAAGAAAUCAACCGAGAUUCCCCCAGUAGCGGCGAGCGAACGGGGAGCAGCCCAGAGCCUGAAUCAGUGUGUGUGUUAGUGGAAGCGUCUGG
rnacentral:rRNA from 1 species